AGAGUUUGAUCCUGGCUCAGGACGAACGUUGGCGGUGCGCCUUAUGCAUGCAAGUCGAGCGAAGCUUUUCAGUAGUUUACUACAGAAAAUGACUGAGCGGCGAACGGGUGAGUAACGCGUGAGCAAUCUACCUUAGUUACAGGGAUAGCCCGAGGAAACUCGGAUUAAUACCUGAUAUUCUUUACAUUUCGCAUGAAAUCAAAAGGAAAGGUCAGCCGAACUAAGAUGAGCUCGCGUUCUAUCAGCUAGUUGGUGAGGUAAAAGCUCACCAAGGCAACGACGGAUAGCUGGUCUGAGAGGACGAUCAGCCACACUGGGACUGAGACACGGCCCAGACUCCUACGGGAGGCUGCAGCAGGGAAUAUUGCGCAAUGAGCGAAAGCUUGACGCAGCGACACCGCGUGUGGGAUGACGGAUCUAGGUUUGUAAACCACUUUCAGGAGGGAAGAAAAUGACGGUACCUCCACAAGAAGCCCCGGCCAACUACGUGCCAGCAGCCGCGGUAAUACGUAGGGGGCGAGCGUUGUCCGGAUUUAUUGGGCGUAAAGAGCUCGUAGGCGGUUCAACAAGUCGGUCGUAAAAGUUCAGGGCUCAACCCUGAAAUGUCGA
rnacentral:rRNA from 1 species